GAUGAACGCUGGCGGCGUGCCUAAUACAUGCAAGUCGAGCGAACAGACGAGGAGCUUGCUCCUCUGACGUUAGCGGCGGACGGGUGAGUAACACGUGGAUAACCUACCUAUAAGACUGGGAUAACUUCGGGAAACCGGAGCUAAUACCGGAUAAUAUAUUGAACCGCAUGGUUCAAUAGUGAAUGACGGCUUUGCUGUCACUUAUAGAUGGAUCCGCGCCGCAUUAGCUAGUUGGUAAGGUAACGGCUUACCAAGGCAACGAUGCGUAGCCGACCUGAGAGGGGGAUCGGCCACACGGGAACUGAGACACGGUCCAGACUCCUACGGGAGGCAGCAGUAGGGAAUCUUCCGCAAUGGGCGAAAGCCUGACGGAGCAACGCCGCGUGAGUGAUGAAGGUCUUCGGAUCGUAAAACUCUGUUAUUAGGGAAGAACAAAUGUGUAAGUAACUAUGCACGUCUUGACGGUACCUAAUCAGAAAGCCACGGCUAACUACGUG
rnacentral:rRNA from 1 species